rnacentral:tRNA from 1 species
GGGGCCAUAGCUCAGUUGGGAGAGCGCUACAAUGGCAUUGUAGAGGUCAGGGGUUCGACUCCCCUUGGCUCCA